AUUGAACGCUGGCGGCAGGCCUAACACAUGCAAGUCGAACGAGUGGCGGACGGGUGAGUAAUGUCUGGGAAACUGCCUGAUGGAGGGGGAUCACUACUGGAAACGGUAGCUAAUACCGCAUACCCUCAGAUGUGCCCAGAUGGGAUUAGCUUGUUGGUGGGGUAACGGCUCAACAGGGCGAAGAGACCUAGCUGGUCUGAGAGGAUGACCAGCCACACUGUAACGGAGACACGGUCCAGACUCCGACGGUAGGCAGCAGUGGGGAAUAUUGCACAAUGGGCGCAAGCCUGAUGCGGCCAUGCGGCGUGUAUGAAGAAGGCCUUCGGGUUGAAAAGUACUUUCAGCGGGGAGGCGUUACCCGCAGAAGAAGCACCGGCUAACUCCGUGCCAGCAGCCGCGGUAAUAC
rnacentral:rRNA from 1 species